UACGUAGGUGGCAAGCGUUGUCCGGAAUUAUUGGGCGUAAAGCGCGCGCAGGCGGCCUUUUAAGUCCAUCUUAAAAGCGUGGGGCUCAACCCCAUGAGGGGAUGGAAACUGGGAGGCUGGAGUAUCGGAGAGGAAAGCGGAAUUCCUAGUGUAGCGGUGAAAUGCGUAGAGAUUAGGAAGAACACCAGUGGCGAAGGCGGCUUUCUGGACGACAACUGACGCUGAGGCGCGAAAGCGUGGGGAGCAAACA
rnacentral:rRNA from 1 species